AGCAGCCGCGGUAAUUCCAGCUCCAAUAGCGUAUAUUAAAGUUGUUGCAGUUAAAAAGCUCGUAGUUGAAUUUUGGGUCUGGCCGGGCGGUCCGCCCUCUGGGUGAGCACUGUUCCGACGCCGGGCCUAUCCUUCUGGUGAGUCGGCAUGUCCUUUAUUGGGUGUGCCGGGGAACCAGGACCAUUACCUUGAAAAAUUAGAGUGUUCAAAGCAGGCGUAUGCUCGGAUACAUUAGCAUGGAAUAAUGAAAUAGGACGCGUGGUGCUAUUUUGUUGGUUUCUAGAACCGCCGUAAUGAUUAAUAGGGAUAGUUGGGGGCAUUAGUAUUCAAUUGUCAGAGGUGAAAUUCUUGGAUUUAUUGAAGACUAACUUCUGCGAAAGCAUUUGCCAAGGAUGUUUUCAUUAAUCAAGAACGAAAGUUAGGGGAUCGAAGACGAUCAGAUACCGUCGUAGUCUUAACCAUA
rnacentral:misc_RNA from 1 species